rnacentral:rRNA from 1 species
UGUGUAGGCGGUUUUCUAAGUUUGGUGUGAAAUCUCCUGGCUCAACCGGGAGGGUGCGCCGAAAACUGGGAGACUAGAGUGCGGGAUGGGAGAGUAGAAUUCCUGGUGUAGCGGUGAAAUGCGUAGAUAUCAGGAGGAAUACCGGUGGUGCAGACGGCUCUCUGGACCGCAACUGACGCUGAGACACGAAAGCGUGGGUAGCAAACA